GGAGUCUGGUCCGUGUCUCAGUACCAGUGUGGGGGACCUUCCUCUCAGAACCCCUACGCAUCGUCGCCUUGGUGGGCCGUUGCCCCGCCAACUAGCUAAUGCGCCGCAUGCCCAUCCCCGGCCGGAAUCCUUUCACCGCAAACCCAUGCGGGAUCGCGGCGCAUGAGGUAUUAGGCCCAGUUUCCCGGGUUUAUCCCUCUGCCGGGGGCAGGUUGCAUACGUGUUACUCACCAGUGCGCCGGUCGCCAUCAAAGAAAGCAAGCUUCCUUCAUGCUGCCCCUCGACUUGCAUGUGUUAAGCCUGUAGCUAGCGUUCAUC
rnacentral:rRNA from 1 species